AUUGAACGCUGGCGGCAGGCCUAACACAUGCAAGUCGAGCGCGCGGCGGACGGGUGAGUAAUGUAUGGGGACUGUCCGUUAGGGGGGGAUAACUACUGUAAACGGUAGCUAAUACCGCAUACUAUCGGAUAACCCAUAUGGGAUUAGCUAGUAGGGGUGGUAAUGGCUCACCUAGGCGACGAUCCCUAGCUGGUCUGAGAGGAUGAUCAGCCACACUGUGACUGAGACACGGCCCAGACUCCUACGGAGGCAGCAGUGGGGAAUAUUGCACAAUGGGCGCAAGCCUGAUGCAGCCAUGCCGCGUGUAUGAAGAAGGCCCUAGGGUUGUAAAGUACUUUCAGUCGGGAGGCGUUACCGGCAGAAGAAGCACCGGCUAACUACGUGCCAGCAGCCGCGGUAAUUC
rnacentral:rRNA from 1 species